rnacentral:tRNA from 1 species
GUGAGCGUAGCUCAGGUGGUUAGAGCGCCAGGUUGUGGCCCUGGAGGCCGUGGGUUCAAGUCCCAUCGUUCACC